rnacentral:rRNA from 1 species
UACGUAGGGGGCUAGCGUUAUCCGGAAUUACUGGGCGUAAAGGGUGCGUAGGUGGUUUCUUAAGUCAGAGGUGAAAGGCUACGGCUCAACCGUAGUAAGCCUUUGAAACUGGGAAACUUGAGUGCAGGAGAGGAGAGUGGAAUUCCUAGUGUAGCGGUGAAAUGCGUAGAUAUUAGGAGGAACACCAGUUGCGAAGGCGGCUCUCUGGACUGUAACUGACUCUGAGGUACGAAAGCGUGGGUAGCAAACAGG